rnacentral:rRNA from 1 species
AUUGAACGCUGGCGGCAGGCCUAACACAUGCAAGUCGAGCGGAUGAGUGGAGCUUGCUCCAUGAUUCAGCGGCGGACGGGUGAGUAAUGCCUAGGAAUCUGCCUGGUAGUGGGGGACAACGUUUCGAAAGGAACGCUAAUACCGCAUACGUCCUACGGGAGAAAGCAGGGGACCUUCGGGCCUUGCGCUAUCAGAUGAGCCUAGGUCGGAUUAGCUAGUAGGUGAGGUAAUGGCUCACCUAGGCGACGAUCCGUAACUGGUCUGAGAGGAUGAUCAGUCACACUGGAACUGAGACACGGUCCAGACUCCUACGGGAGGCAGCAGUGGGGAAUAUUGGACAAUGGCGAAAGCCUGAUCCAGCCAUGCCGCGUGUGUGAAGAAGGUCUUCGG